rnacentral:rRNA from 1 species
GAUGAACGCUGGCGGCGUGCCUAAUACAUGCAAGUCGAGCGAACAGACGAGGCUCUUGCCUCUCUUAAGUUAGCGGCGGGCGGGUGAGUAACACGAGGCUACCCUACCUAUAAGACUGAGAUCCCUUCGGGAAACCGGAGAUAGCAUCGGACAUUAUAUUGAACCGCAUGGUUCUUUAGUGAAAGACGGAUUUGAUGUGCCUUAUUGAUGGAACCGAGCCGCAUUAGCUAGUUGGUACGGUAACGGCCUACCAAGGCAACGAUGCGUAGCCGAUCUGAGAGGGUGAUCAGCCACACUGGAACUGAGACACGGUCCAGACUCCUACGGGAGGCAGCAGUGGGGAAUAUUCGGCAAUGGGCGAAAGCCUGAUGCAGCAAUGCCGCGUGUGUGAUGAAGGUCUUCGGAUCGUAAAGCUCUUUAAGUUGGGAAGAAGAAAUGUGAAAUAAUCUAUGCCCGUCUUGACGGUACCAAAACAGAAAGCCACGGCUAACUACGUG